GACGAACGCUGGCGGCGUGCUUAACACAUGCAAGUCGAACGGAAAGGCCCUGCUUUUGUGGGGUGCUCGAGUGGCGAACGGGUGAGUAACACGUGAGUAACCUGCCCUUGACUUUGGGAUAACUUCAGGAAACUGGGGCUAAUACCGGAUAGGAGCUCCUGCUGCAUGGUGGGGGUUGGAAAGUUUCGGCGGUUGGGGAUGGACUCGCGGCUUAUCAGCUUGUUGGUGGGGUAGUGGCUUACCAAGGCUUUGACGGGUAGCCGGCCUGAGAGGGUGACCGGCCACAUUGGGACUGAGAGACGGCCCAGACUCCUACGGGAGGCAGCAGUGGGGAAUAUUGCACAGUGGGCGGAAGCCUGAUGCAGCAACGCCGCGUGCGGGAUGACGGCCUUCGGGUUGUAAACCGCUUUCGCCUGUGACGAAGCGUGAGUGACGGUAAUGGGUAAAGAAGCACCGGCUAACUACGUG
rnacentral:rRNA from 1 species